rnacentral:rRNA from 1 species
UGGGGAAUAUUGCACAAUGGGCGCAAGCCUGAUGCAGCAACGCCGCGUGAGGGACGACGGCCUUCGGGUUGUAAACCUCUUUUAGUAGGAAGAAGCGAAAGUGACGGUACCUGCAGAAAAAGCACCGGCUAACCGUACGUGCCAGCAGCCGCGGUAAUACGUAGGGUGCGAGCGUUGUCCGGAAUUAUUGGGCGUAAAGAGCUCGUAGGCGGUCUGUCGCGUCUGCUGUGAAAACCCGAGGCUCAACCUCGGGCCUGCAGUGGGUACGGGCAGACUAGAGUGCGGUAGGGGAGAAUGGAAUUCCUGGUGUAGCGGUGGAAUGCGCAGAUAUCAGGAGGAACACCGAUGGCGAAGGCAGUUCUCU